rnacentral:lncRNA from 1 species
GUGGGGCAGGACAGGCCUGGGAAGAUAAGGAGCACAGGGUUGAGAAGGUUCGUCAUUGCACAUCUCCAAGUUCAAAAUGAAGGUCAGACUGGAAAGGAAUAGAAGUAUUCUUUCCUCCUUCCUCCCAAGAGUUUUGCUUCGUACAGCUCAAAACAAAUACAGGUUCAGGAUUAUGAAAUCCCUCGGAGGAGUAAGAUGACUGCAACAAAUGUCACGAAGGAAGAUGAAUAACAAAACCAAAUAAAUGGAUUCAAC